rnacentral:rRNA from 1 species
UACGGAGGAUGCAAGCGUUAUCCGGAAUCAUUGGGCCUAAAGCAUCCGUAGCCGGUUCUGCAAGUCCCCCGUUAAAUCCAGCUGCUCAACAGAUGGGCCGCGGAGGAUACUACAGAGCUAGGAGGCAGGAGAGGCAAGCGGUACUCAGUGGGUAGGGGUAAAAUCCGUUGAUCCAUUGAAGACCACCAGUGGCGAAGGCGGCUUGCCAGAAUGCGCUCGACGGUGAGGGAUGAAAGCUGGGGGAGCAAACCGG